rnacentral:piRNA from 1 species
AGAAAGGGCUGUAACCACUAAAG